UACAGAGGUCUCAAGCGUUGUUCGGAUUCAUUGGGCGUAAAGGGUGCGUAGGCGGCGCGUUAAGUCGGGUGUGAAAUCUUGGAGCUUAACUCCGAAACUGCAUUCGAUACUGCCGUGCUUGAGGACUGGAGAGGAGACUGGAAUUUACGGUGUAGCGGUGAAAUGCGUAGAUAUCGUAAGGAAGACCAGUGGCGAAGGCGGGUAUCUGGACAGUUCCUGACGCUGAGACGCGAAAGCCAGGGGAGAAAACGGG
rnacentral:rRNA from 1 species